rnacentral:rRNA from 1 species
AAACUAACAAGGAUCCCCCUUAGUAACGGCGAGUGAAGCGGGAUGAGCUCAAAUUUGUAAUCUGGUGGACUCAGUUCAUCCGAGUUGUAAUCUAUAGAAAAGUUUUCCGCGCCGGACCGUGUCUAAGUCCCUUGGAACAGGGUGUCAGAGAGGGUGAGAAUCCCGUGCUUGAUACGACCACCGGUGCUAUGUGAUACUUUUUCAACGAGUCGAGUUGUUUGGGAAUGCAGCUCAAAAUGGGUGGUAAAUUCCAUCUAAAGCUAAAUAUUGGCGAGAGACCGAUAGCGAACAAGUACGUGAGGGAAGAUGAAAAGCACUUUGAAAGAGAGUUAAACAGUACGUGAAAUUGUUAAAAGGGAAACGAUUGAAGUCAGUCGUGCUCUCUGGGACUCAGCCGGUUCUUCCGGUGUAUUUCCCAGUGAGCGGGUCAACAUCAGUUUAGAUCGCUGGAUAAGGUCAUUAGGAAUGUGGCUCCCUCGGGAGUGUUAUAGCCUAGUGUCGCAUACAGUGGUUUAGACUGAGGAACGCAGCUCGCCUUUAUGGCCGGGGUUCGCCCACGUCCGAGCUUAGGAUGUUGACAUAAUGCUUUAAACGAC